UACUAUCUAGCGAAACCACAGCCAAGGGAACGGGCUUGGCAAAAUCAGCGGGGAAAGAAGACCCUGUUGAGCUUGACUCUAGUCUGACUCUGUGAAGAGACAUGAGAGGUGUAGCAUAAGUGGGAGGUCACGGGAUACGGCCUCGUUUCGGCGGGGUCCUCGUGGCCGCCAGUGAAAUACCACUACUCUCAUCGUUUCUUUACUUACUCGGUGGAGCGGGAAGCGGACCAAUGAGUUGUCCACGCUUCUAGCGCCAAGCGACGGGCCCCCGGUGUCCUU
rnacentral:rRNA from 1 species